AUAAUUUGUCUUUUAAUUUAAGACUAGAAUGAAAGGUACGACGUAAGACACACUUUUCCAAAAAUACAAAAAAAUUAGUUUUAAGUAAAAACCCUUAAUUACCUUUAAAGGACGAUAAGACCCUAUAAAAUUUAACUUCUUACACUUAAAUUAGUUAUAAAACUACCGAAGUUUUGCUGGGACGGCAAAAAUAUAUAAACUAUUUAAUUUAAAACACCCCUUCUUGAGACCUAAGACCCGUCAAAGACAAAAAAUCU
rnacentral:rRNA from 1 species